GCGCGACCUCCCGGCCCUUUACCUUUUGCCUGUAACUUUCCCAGAUUGCUUGAGCCCUGUGCACAAACGUUAGUGGCAACUGUAUUUUUAAUGGCCAGAGAUGAGACACACACAGUCCAGUGCCCAUCCGCUGGGGAAUGGAUGAAUGUAUCGUGGGACACCUGCAUGAGAAAUUCACUCAGCAAUGAGAAAGAACGGCUGACAGCGAAACGGCACAGGUGAACCUGGAAGCAAGAUGGGAAAAAUCAUCACACAAACCCUGUUGAGAGAAAUGAGAACUUUACUGAGGAG